GACGAACCGUGCGAACGUUGUUCGGAAUCACUGGGCGUAAAGGGUGCGUAGGCGGGUCUUUAAGUCAGGGGUGAAAUCCUGGAGCUCAACUCCAGAACUGCCUUUGAUACUGAAGAUCUUGAGUUCGGGAGAGGUGAGUGGAACUGCGAGUGUAGAGGUGAAAUUCGUAGAUAUUCGCAAGAACACCAGUGGCGAAGGCGGCUCACUGGCCCGGUACUGACGCUGAGGUGCGAAAGCGUGGGGAGCAAACAGG
rnacentral:rRNA from 1 species